UACGUAGGUGGCAAGCGUUAAUCGGAAUUACUGGGCGUAAAGCGUGCGCAGGCGGUGACGUAAGACAGGUGUGAAAUCCCCGGGCUUAACCUGGGAACUGCAUUUGUGACUGCAUCGCUGGAGUGCGGCAGAGGGGGAUGGAAUUCCGCGUGUAGCAGUGAAAUGCGUAGAUAUGCGGAGGAACACCGAUGGCGAAGGCAAUCCCCUGGGCCUGCACUGACGCUCAUGCACGAAAGCGUGGGGAGCAAACAGG
rnacentral:rRNA from 1 species